CCCUUCCCUACAGGUGGGUGGGGUUUGUGGCACUGAAUGGGGCUCACCUGGACAGGUGCCUCCCACCUGCUUGGGUUGGCCUUUGACCCGCCCUCGGCCAGGGAGGACAAUGGCCAGCCAGCCGGGGGUGGGGCUAAGGCCAAAGAAAAGAGGCUGACCCUUUCGACCAAGCCUCACUUCGUUUUCUUCCUUCCAGGAUCAUCUUCCAGGUUGCAGGACGUGUGAGCAACCAGGUUGAGGUAAGUAUUUUGCUUUGUUUGUUACAGGCUGCUUGCAAGCCUUCCUUUAUUGUUUUUCAGCGGCGGUGGCACUGGGGAGGGGCUGUAAGCCCCCUCUGCGGUCACUGCUUGCCGUGGGGGCACCUUGCCAGGCCCGAGAGGGCGGGGGGUGCCCCAGUCAUAGGCCGCAUGGUGGCCUUUUUAUUUUGGCAGUGGCGCUGGAGAGGGGAAUUGGAAAAGGGAAAACUUAUAAAAAAGGAAGCAUCUCUUUAUUCAGGGCUUCUUCCUGCUUCUCCCGUGUGGUGGGUGGGUGUCCUGUUGCAACAGUUUUUAAUAAAGACCAGGCCUACUGGCUGCUGUUUUGCUCCUAUAUUUCUGACUGGUGUCUUUGGCAGUCCCAGUGGGCCCAAGGAUUUUCCUAUAACACCAAGAAUGUGCAGGCUAUUGAGGAGCAGAGACCAGAGGUGUGCAGACACAGUUUGAGACAGUCUGGGAAACAUUUGGGAGAGGAGGGUCCUUCUAAAGGGUGGGGGGCAGGGACCUCCAGUCCUGGCAACUGCUCCACAGAAGCCAACCUGCAGAGCUGGAAGUGGCUUCCUUGAAUAGUUAACUUCCCUGACAACAGAGCCCUGCGUUUUCCCUGCUGACCUGCCUCUGACUUCAGCCCUGACAGCAGAAUGAAUGGCCCAUGAGCAGGUCUCUUGUCCGCUUAGCCCAGAAUUGCCUCCUUCCUGUCCUCCUGGUUGCGGGUCUUGAGCAGAAUCUGCUACGGGAGGCUGGCAGGUGGCAGCUUCUGCAUGCGGAUCAUGCGCUCUUUUAAUGCUCCACACAUCUUUUACAGUCUGCCUGGUGCUUCCUUUACAUCCUUCACAGUCUGCCUGGAUUGUCAACAGCCUUUGCAGAUGGGGAGCCAAGCCUGGAAAGAGAGAGAGAGAGGGAGAGAGAUGAUGGAGGAGAGACUUGGAAUAAUAGAACUGAGUGGUUGGGAGGGGCCCCCAGGGGUCAUCCAGCCCAACCCCAUGCAUCUAAAGCAUCCAUAGCAGAUGGCCACCCAACGUCUGAUUUCCUCAGCCUGGCACUCUUCGGCUGUUCAGGGCUAGAAAUCCAAUCAGCCGCAACAUUGGUAAUCCUGGGCUGGCAGGAGGUCCAUGAAUGGUGGGGGACUUGAAGCUUAUCCAUAUGAAUAAUAAUAAUAAAACCUCACACACAAUCGCAGGCAUAAAAUGAUGAAUUAAAACAGAGGCCAAGUGAUUGUUUCCAAAUCCUGAAGAGC